UCACACAACUCCAGGUUGUUACUACAAGUGUCAUCAAGGGAUAACUACUACAAGUAGAAGCACCAUUUUUGGAUGGAAAAAACCCUUCAGGAAAGUAUACGUAUCACAUGUAACAUGUAGUGUAACAAAGUAUGAACAGUAAGGUUUUUACAUACAGUAGUACAUAUUACAUACGUACAUAACUUUUUUUUACAGGAAUUUCCAACCAAGUUUGAUUAUGUACAUAUGUACAUGUUAUAAACCACUGUACGUAUGGUUACUGUAUGUAACUUACUAAACAUACAUAACAUGACUUAACUUUGAUACUUUUUUGGUACAUUCCAGAAAACCAGGACCCCCUCCAUGAUGCAGGCUAUGGGGCCACAUAAAACUUUGUCCAGGGUUACUACAUAACAUAGAACGACAACUGUAAACUAUGUACUACUGUACUAAAGAACCCCCUGAAUGAUGUAGGCUAUGGGGCCACAUAAGACUUUGUCCAUCCAGGGUUACAUUGAAAGACAACUUUAAACUAAAGAGCUACCAGACUGGGAUUUUAGUGUAUCAAGGAUCUAACAAAGUGUGCAAUGCAUGUGUAUACGUAUACAGUGACAGUGUUUAGUGUAUACCCUAAGGAUUAAGUGUAGUGUACAUUGUGCUUUUUAGUGUCACAAGAGUUUAAUAAAGAAUUAUACCUUCAAGAACCAUCCUUUGCCAUUGG